rnacentral:rRNA from 1 species
CCGCAAUGUUAUUUUCUAGCCACCCUCGGACAAGCGAGAGAGACAGUGGAACUCUUCCUCUUCCGGUGCAAGAAAUGGACGGCGUACCGAGCAGAGAUGCUCCAGCGCACAACCACUCACAGAGUCAAUAUUUCCUUCUAUCUAGGAGGGAAGUCACCGUCGGAUAAAGAAGACUGGACUCCGAACGUCAAGACCGUUCGGGCAACGAUUCGGUUCGCAAUGUCCACGGGCCGACUCGACGCGAACCAACCGCAGGCCAACUGA